UUCCCCUAGUAACUGCGAGUGAAGCGGGAAAAGCUCAAAUUUAAAAUCUGGUGGUCUUUGGCCAUCCGAGUUGUAAUCUAGAGAAGUGUUACCCGCGUCGGACCGUGUAUAAGUCUCCUGGAAUGGAGCGUCAUAGAGGGUGAGAAUCCCGUCUUUGACACGGACUACCGAGGCUNUGUGGUGCGCUCUCAACGAGUCGAGUUGUUUGGGAAUGCAGCUCAAAAUGGGUGGUAAAUUCCAUCUAAAGCUAAAUAUUGGCGAGAGACCGAUAGCGAACAAGUACCGUGAGGGAAAGAUGAAAAGAACUUUGGAAAGAGAGUUAAACAGUACGUGAAAUUGCUGAAAGGGAAACGCUUGAAGUCAGUCGCGUUGGCCGGAAAUCAGCCUUGCUUUUGCUGGGUGUACUUUCUGGUUGACGGGCCAGCAUCAGUUUUGACCGGUGGAAAAAGUCAGAGGGAAUGUGGCAUCUUC
rnacentral:rRNA from 1 species